rfam:Papio anubis isolate 1X1155 chromosome 9, whole genome shotgun sequence.
GCCGGGCGACGUGGCGGGCGCCUGUAGUCCCAGCUACUCGGGAGGCUGAGGCAGGAGAAUGGCUUGAACCCGGGAGGCGGAGCUUGCAGUGAGCGGAGAUCGCGCCACUGCGCUCCAUCCUGGGCCACAGAGCCAGACUCCGUCUCAA